rnacentral:rRNA from 1 species
GGGGAAUAUUGGACAAUGGGCGCAAGCCUGAUCCAGCCAUGCCGCGUGAGUGAUGAAGGCCCUAGGGUUGUAAAGCUCUUUCACCGGUGAAGAUAAUGACGGUAACCGGAGAAGAAGCCCCGGCUAACUUCGUGCCAGCAGCCGCGGUAAUACGAAGGGGGCUAGCGUUGUUCGGAAUUACUGGGCGUAACGGGCGCGUAGGCGGCCAGUUUAGUCUGAAGUGGAAGCCCCGGGCUCAACCUGGGAAUAGCUUUUGAUACUGGCAGGCUUGAGUUCCGCAGAGGAAGGUGGAAUUCCCAGUGUAGAGGUGAAAUUCGUAGAUAUUGGGAAGAACACCGGUGGCGAAGGCGGCCAUCUGGGCGGACACUGACGCUGAUGCGCGAAAGCGUGGGGAGCAAACA